rnacentral:rRNA from 1 species
CGCGUAGGUAACCUGCCUUGUAGCGGGGGAUAACUAUUGGAAACGAUAGCUAAUACCGCAUAACAAUGGAUGACACAUGUCAUUUAUUUGAAAGGGGCAAUUGCUCCACUACAAGAUGGACCUGCGUUGUAUUAGCUAGUAGGUGAGGUAACGGCUCACCUAGGCGACGAUACAUAGCCGACCUGAGAGGGUGAUCGGCCACAUUGGGACUGAGACACGGCCCAAACUCCUACGGGAGGCAGCAUG